GGUCUAAUAGUGUAGAGGUUAUCACACGGGAUUUUGAUAGAUUUCAUUUACUUUCCUUAACUUCCCGUAACCCAGGUUCGAGUCCUGGUUAGACCU